rnacentral:rRNA from 1 species
AACGCUAGCUACAGGCUUAACACAUGCAAGUCGAGGGGAAACGAUAGAGAAAGCUUGCUUUUUCUAGGCGUCGACCGGCGCACGGGUGAGUAACGCGUAUCCAACCUGCCCACCACUUGGGGAUAACCUUGCGAAAGUAAGACUAAUACCCAAUGACGUCUCUAGAAGACAUCUGAAAGGGAUUAAAGAUUUAUCGGUGAUGGAUGGGGAUGCGUCUGAUUAGCUUGUUGGCGGGGUAACGGCCCACCAAGGCGACGAUCAGUAGGGGUUCUGAGAGGAAGGUCCCCCACAUUGGAACUGAGACACGGUCCAAACUCCUACGGGAGGCAGCAGUGAGGAAUAUUGGUCAAUGGGCGCAAGCCUGAACCAGCCAAGUAGCGUGAGGGAAGACUGCCCUACGGGUUGUAAACCUCUUUUGUUUGGGAAUAAAGUGCGGGACGUGUCCCGCAUUGCAUGUACCAUUUGAAUAAGGACCGGCUAAUUCCGUGCCAGCAGCCGCGGUAAUACGGAAGGUCCGGGCGUUAUCCGGAUUUAUUGGGUUUAAAGGGAGCGUAGGCCGGAGAUUAAGCGUGUUGUGAAAUGUAGACGCUCAACGUCUGCACCGCAGCGCGAACUGGUUUCCUUGAGUACGCACAAAGUGGGCGGAAUUCGUGGUGUAGCGGUGAAAUGCUUAGAUAUCACGAAGAACUCCGAUUG